UACGAAGGUGGCGAGCGUUGUUCGGAAUCACUGGGCUUAAAGCGCGCGUAGGCGGAAAAGAAAGUGUCUUGUGAAAUCCCUCGGCUUAACCGAGGAACUGCUUGGCAAACUACUUUUCUUGAGGCAAGUAGGGGUACAUGGAACUCUUGGUGGAGCGGUGGAAUGCGUAGAUAUCAAGAGGAACGCCAAUGGUGAAGACAGUGUACUGGGCUUGUCCUGACGCUGAGGUGCGAAAGCGUGGGGAGCGAACGGGAUUAGAUACCCCCGUA
rnacentral:rRNA from 1 species